rnacentral:rRNA from 1 species
GACGAACGCUGGCGGCGUGCUUAACACAUGCAAGUCGAACGGAAAGGCCCUGCUUUUGUGGGGUGCUCGAGUGGCGAACGGGUGAGUAACACGUGAGUAACCUGCCCUUGACUUUGGGAUAACUUCAGGAAACUGGGGCUAAUACCGGAUAGGAGCUCCUGCUGCAUGGUGGGGGUUGGAAAGUUUCGGCGGUUGGGGAUGGACUCGCGGCUUAUCAGCUUGUUGGUGGGGUAGUGGCUUACCAAGGCUUUGACGGGUAGCCGGCCUGAGAGGGUGACCGGCCACAUUGGGACUGAGAUGCGGCCCAGACUCCUACGGGAGGCAGCAGUGGGGAAUAAUGCACAAUGGGCGGAAGCCUGAUGCAGCAACGCCGCGUGCGGGAUGACGGCCUUCGGGUUGUAAAACGCUUUCGCCUGUGACGAAGCGUGAGUGACGGUAAGGGGUAAAGAAGCACCGGCUAACUACG